UCGCUGUACGCUGAUGAUAAACAAGCACUUCCCCGUGCUAGCUUAGCCGUUACCUUGCCGUCUAAUGAGCGCGGCUGAAUGAAAACAACAGUUUUACCAUUUACUCACAGCCCUCCCCCAGGUAGCACCCUCCUUCAGGUUUGAACGAGGAACCCAGGGCUCACCCGCGAUGUUCAGUAGACCCACUUUUGAGAUUAGCCCAUUGGCACCGUUACGGCACACCGACGGGGAUUUGUUGUCGCCGCAAACAAUCCAAUCACCAUCAUCAUUACCGUCGUCAUCACCUCGUCGCUUGGUUUCGCUGUGCGCUAGUUGGAUGAUGAUGUGUCGCAGUUGCCGCAAGCCCUUACACUAGUAACCAUGGUAUCGAUCACUCAGAGGGUUUUGGUAUUCAAGGGAGAAUUCGUACGAUUCCAGUAAUCGGCGAGCGCGCGUAAUUGCGCAACCGGCCCGAGCGAAGGUAGCGAAGGCCGCAGGAAGCAAACACAAACACCGCUCGGCACGCGAAAGUGAAGCGUUCUAGUUUACGCACCGGGCCAGGCCACAACACCGCCUUGCCGCGCAGCAAACGGGCGAAUUGGCAAUCGCGCAAACACCAAGACGCCGCGCAGACCCUUUCCCGACCCGAGUGACAACAACGACGACGACGAAGACGACGCGCCGUAAGAUCACUCACUGUGAAACAGCGAAGCAGCUAACUUCUAACCCCUGGAUGAUUGAUGAUCAAAGAGGAAAUGUUUCAAAUGGUCCCCGCCCAACACGCCAUGAAAUCCCGCCGUGUUGCACACCGGGAGGAGCAGCAGCAGCACCACCACGAACCGCGUGGGUUGCGGCGGAUGAACGUGCACGACCGGCAACACGACGCGUCGAUGAAAAUGUGGGACAGCGGCACUGGCAAAUGUGGGACAACCGUGGCAACCCACACACACAACCUCUACGCCACCACUACCAGCACCUCCUGCACCAGUUGUUGCAUGCAAUCCGGGAAGAUAGCUGGUCCCGGUGGUAGCACGUUUUCCCCGCUCCAUUCGCUCCAGGCGAGAAAAGAGCUUUCUCCUUUCUUUGUGGCUGUUUUGCUACACAUCAUGCAAGCGUAUUUUUCUGUUUGCCUUCGCAAUAGGGCACUUCGAGCACAAAUGAACGUGAAACAAAUCUAUUACGAAUCUUACAAAACAGAACACGAAACGGCACACUAAGAAGUUUAAUGAAAAGUACCAAAAUAAGCAUAAGAAAAGAAAUCAAUCAGAAAAUUGAAAAUUGAAGAAAGGUCAGCUUAAGAAAAAGAAGAACUUAAGAAGAAGAAGAAAAAACAACAGAAAAUUGAAACACACUUAGUCACAAAAAGUAGAACAAACGCCAAACGGAACACGCUCGGUUGGUAACGAGCUGCGAAAAGAAAAUGGGAAAACAAAUAGAUCAGAAACCGUUUAAAGCAGAGGCAACGGCGAACAAAGAAGAGCGAAAAGAAAGUAAGCAGAAAAGAUAAGGGUGAAAUUAUCGACCGCAUCGGAUAAUUAAAGUGUUAAAAAAUCGAAUCAACACUUGCCGGUUGCGCAAUUUGCAACGGUUCCCGGGCGCGUAAUGAUAUAAUUGAAUGGUUCGGUAUCGGCCGAAGCCUACUAUUUUCAACCGUAACAAGCACGCACGCACCAACGGUGCCUGUGGAUGGGAGCGUUCGCCCGAGCAAAUCAUAAUCCGCAUCCUUCAAAGAAAUGUGUACCUGUUUGCCGGUUGCUCGUUGCUAGGCAACCGGUUGAUGUUGGUGGUUUAUGAUGGUAACGAUUAAUUAUGAUCCCAAAAUCAGUACAACUAGGUUAUUGUUCGUUCUAGGUCACGUGAAUAGUUUUGUUCUUGUUUGAAGCUCCAUUUUCUUCUUCCUUGGCCGUUUUCUUCCAUAUUUUCUUUGCCAUUCUUAUUAUUUUCGUUUUUGGCAAUAGUAGGAAAUUGUGUUCAACGUGCCUUACAACACUUCAUAAUUUGUUAUAUUUCUCCUUCAAUUCUGUUAUUAGUCGCUCAGUUCAGCUUUAAACCUCCUUUUCUUUGGCCGUGACUUUGCCAUAGUUUCUAGGGCAUGUAAUUUUACGCCAACAGUGCAAGCAAAACAAAGCAGCAACACGCGUUCGCCGCGCGGCCUGUCCCGUCGUUCGGCUAGGGGUAGCUGACAUAACGAGUGCCGAGUGCGGGCGCCGGAACAUGAGUGCUUUCACUUCAACCCGGGCACCCGGGCAACAUGCGGGCCGACCAGCCCCAUCGCCAUGGUAUGGUAUUGCCAUUGGUGGCUUCAGUUUCAAUAUCAAUGCCUAGGCAUUGGCCGUCAUCAGGGCCAAACGUACCCGAACCGUACCUCCAUCGUUGGAGCGGUGGGGGCGUGUUGGAGCGAUGAGGUGUUGGUGUUGGUGGGAAUUGCGGUCAGCUGGGUGGGAGGUGAUUUAAACAAUAGGUGAAAGGUUAUUUACGCUGCUCGAUGUAGUUCGGAAAUUGUUUAAUAAUUGGGUCAGUUUUUAACAUUUUACAACACAUGGACACAUGGAAAGUGCUUUAGAAAGGAUUUUUCCUGUUUUUCAUAAAACGUGUAUCGUACAGUGUAAGCAUAGAUAUUAAGCUCUUCAUAGUCUGCUUCUACAGUUUUUGCUUUCAUUGCGCUUCUAUGGCUUUCUGCUCGAUACUUCAAACUCCUGUGCAGCAAACUCGAGGCAACGCUACUGCAGAAAGUUUUGCUAAUCCGUAAACCCACAAACUUGCUCCUCCAUUCUCUCCAUUCGGCGCAGAAUUCCCUCUUGCUCCCUGUCGUCGGCAGUACAGAAAGAUACACAAAACCGUCACCAUCACUCUCUUUCUCGCGGCACUACUCUCACGCCAAACAGUUUGGUGUCACGAGCCGGCCCAGCUUAACUCGGCUAAUCCCUGCCAUGUCUUGCUGCCAUUGCUGCCACUGUCCCAUCCAACCCGGCUGGCCCGUCAUCCACUAUUGCGAAUGUCUCGCUUCUGGUGCGGAGAAUGCGCCGGGCCUCGCACGGUGCCCGAAAUUAGGUCAAGUGUGUGCCGGUUUGAAUAAUUCAAUGCUUGGCUACUUUCAAUGCCGGUCGUCUCUAGCGCUCUAGCGCCCCCGUUUGGGUCCGAUUUUCCUCGCCUCUCCAAUUGCCCGUGUGGCCUGCCGGGUGGAAAUGCCAGACGGGGAAAUUACUUUCAUCUUUUUGUUACGAAAGUGUUGAGGCAAUAGAGUUGAGGAUGGUUGUGUGUGUGUGUGUGUGGGUUGAAUUGUUAGACAUACGCAAACUGGGACACAUUUAUAUAGCAAAGCGAAGAUGCGGGAAAUAGAGGAAGUUUCUGUGUCUAACACGUCUAUUACUUCAGCAAUUUGUAAUCGUUUCUUACGCCUUUGCUUUUUCAUUCUAUUAUUCGACUCGUUCGUUUGAUAAGGGACUGAUGGUUGAUAUAAUGGAUCACAUUGUAAAGCGUUUUCAAAAUGCAACAAUCAUCGCCAACCAUAAAAAAUAUGUAUAUCGUGCACCAAACUGACCUCAUUUCACUGCAACUGCAACGCAAAUGCAACCGAUUGGUGGCACACACUUUAUCAAAGCCUAGAUAAUUUUAUUUCGUACCUUUGUUAUCAAUCAAUAAGCUGCUUUUGAGGUGAGUAAUAGUAACAGUGAAUAUUACUUAAACUUAUGUACACUUUGUGAAGAAAAAGGGGUCAAAUUGUAUGAUACAAUCUGCAAGAAUUAACGACCCAAUCUGGCCACAAAGCUUCCACGUUACAGUGCUUACUUCAUCCUCCACCGCACAAAGAACUGACAUAAGCCAAAAUAUUAUUCGCCCAGGUCGUCUGAACCCGGGAACCCGGUAAUCGAUACCGCAAACAUCACAAAACAAACCAUCCCUCGAUGACGAUGCUGACAAUGAUGAUGAUGAUGAUGAUGAUGACGGUGAUGUAAAUAUGGUCCUGCCGCCCGUUCUUGUCGAUAACAAUGGGACCUAGCGUACUCUCCUCCCCUUCCCCCACCAAGAAGUGACCCCAUUUUUGAAAUCCUCAAAAGUAAAACCAAAAAAAAACCAAUCCUCCUUCCCGGUACUGCAGCCGAAGUGCAGCGGGUGCAUGCGCCUGGCAACUGGCGUGACUCGCGAGAGAUAAGCGAUCGGGUAAACAUGCACCGCAUGUGUGCGUGUAAAGUAAAAACCAAAAAACACGUGUGUGUGUGUGUGUGU